ACGAACGCUGGCGGCGUGGCCUAAGACAUGCAAGUCGAACGAGGCCACUUCUCUGGUAGCAUACCGGGAAGUCUAGUGGCGAACGAGUGAGUAACACGUGAGGCAAUCUACCUAGAGUGCGGGGGAUAAGCUCGGCGAAACCGGCGAAUAAUACCGCAUGUUACGAUUCAGUGACGACAUCUUUAGGAAACAUCAAGCCUCGGUACAAUGCUAUGGCGCUUCUGGAUGAGCCUCGCAGGCCUAUCAGCUAGUUGGUGAGGGUAACGGCUCACCAAGGCAGCGACGGGCUACGGGUCUGAGAGGACGACCCCGUCACACUUGGAACUGAGACACGGUCCAGACUCCUACGGGAGGCAGCAGUCGGGAAUAUUUGGGCAAUGGGCCGAAAGGCUGACCAGAGCGACGCCGCGUGCGAGGAUGAAGGCCUUCGGGUUGUAAACUCGCUGUCAGGGGGACGAACGAAUUCCCCGGCUAAUACCCUGUCGGGAGUGAUAGGUACCUCAGAAGAGGAAGGCACGGCUAACUCUGUGCCAGCAGCCGCGGUAAGACAGAGGGUGCCAAGCGUUGUUCGGAUUACUGGGCGUAAAGCGCUGCGCAGGCGGGUCCUGUAAGUCGGAAGUGAAAUCUCGACUGCUCAACGGUCGGAACUGCAUUCCGAUACUGCGGAUGCUGGAGGACCUGGUAGAGGAGACUGGGAAUUGCAGGUGUAGCAGGUGGAAAUGCGUAGAGAUCUGUAAGAACGACCAGUGGCGAAGGCGGGCCAGCUGGGCCGGUUCUGACGCUGAGGCGCGAAAGCGUGGGGAGCAAACAGGAUUAGAUACCCCUGGUAGUCCACGCCGUAAACGAUGGCACUAGGUGCUGGGGGGGAUCGACCCCUUCAGUGCCGGCAGCUAACGCAUUAAGUCGUCCCGCCUGGGGAGUACGGCCGCAAGGUUGAAACUCAAAGGAAUUGACGGGGGCCCGCACAAGCGGUGGAGCAUGUGGUUUCAAUUCGAAUGCAGACGCGAAGAACCUUACCUAGGCUUGACAUGAGUGGAGUAGAAAGCCCUGGAAACAGGGACGACCCGUUAGUCAGGAGCACCUACACAGGUGCUGCAUGGCUGUCGUCAGCUCGUGUCCGUGAGAUGUUGGGUUAAGUCCCGCAACGAGCGCAACCCUCCACCCGAUGUUGCUACAGUGGUAGGCCUGAGGACUCUUCGGGGACUGCCGGCGUAAGAGCCUGGAGGAAGGUGGGGACUGACGUCAAGUCCGUAUGCCCUUAUGUCCUAGGGCUACACACAUGCUACAAUGCGCGAGGACAGAGGGGCUGCUAAGCCUGCGAAGGGGAGCCGAAUCCCGAAAGCCGCGCUCAAGUUCGGAUUGCAGGCUGCAACUCGCCCUGCAUGAAGGCGGAAUCGCUAGUAAGCGCAGAUCAGCACGGCUGCGCUGAAUACGUUCCCGGGCCUUGUACACACCGCCCGUCACAGCCAUGGAAAGUCGGCGGUACCAGAAGUCCGCUGAGCGAACCUGCGAGGGGAGCAGGCGCCGAAGGUAUGGCUCGGUGAUUGGGGUG
rnacentral:rRNA from 1 species